UGGCAUGGGGCGCGCGCGGCGGGGCGGGGCUGGCGGUGUCCCGGCGCUGCGCGGGCAGGGUCCUGGGGGAGGCGGCGCGGAGCCCCUCACUGGAAAGUGCGGGGGAAAGCUGGAGCUCGUUGGUGUUAAACUAUAGAGCAUCCUUGCUGGGUUAGCCUUGAGGGAUACCAAAAUGUCAAUGCAGAAAGCUUCAAAAUACACGGCGAUGAGGGGAUUACUGUUAUCUUCCCAUAACGAAACUGAGGCAUAGAGUGGCUCAUUACCGGGAUUAUUCCAUUAGAUUGAUGUCUUCCAAAAACUGGAUGUGGAAUGGAGACAUCUUUCAGCUGCAAUGAAAAGAAUUCACAGGCAGGACAACUGUUCAAAGCUGCCAAAAGCAAUAAGCAGACCUUCCGCAGGGGUGCGUGGGGCCUACAGUGGAGCAGGCCUUGGGCAGCAGAGGGCCCUCCUGACCCCCCUGGCUGUGAAAACAACCAGGUGCCUUCCCUCUCCUCUAUGUUUUUGGAGACAGUGAAGCAGAGAAGUAUUCCAUAGAAAUUUAACCGAGCACAACAUUGACACUGUUAUUCUACUCUAACACGUCGAAAACUUCAGCCUGCAUUCAAUGCUAAGGAAAAACCCACCUAGUGUAAUAGAUAAAACAAGAAGUGAUUUACUUUGCUAUUAGCUCUAUACUUUUUUUUUCUGUGUAAUUACUGGAGAAGUUUAAAUGCAAGCUUUCUUUCUUACAAGCAUAUUUUAAACAAAGUUUAAUUCUAUGCUUAAAGAAAAAUGUUUUCUCCAAUAUUUCCUUUUGAAACCUGCACUGAAUACUUAAUCCUGCAUUUCUGAGAGUAAAAGCUGCUGCUAUGGAUACAGUGAGGUCAACUUUUCAUCAUUAUUUUACUGUGCAGUGUUAGAGGAGAUGGUAAGAUAACAUUUUUUGUUUCCAGAAAAAUAUCUUAAAGUGUGACAUAUUUUAAAUGCAUAUGUAAAGCAUUUCAUUUAAUAUUUCUCUUUUUAGUAUGAACGUAGGAAUUAGAACAAGGACCAGAGUGGCAGUACUGAAGAAACACCUUGUCUGCACUGGAACGUUACUUCCAUUUUCACCUGACGCUCCUGCUGUGUUUUACAAAUAUUCAUUAGGCUGCACAAAAGUCCUAUGAUAAUCCUCAAGGUGACUCAAAAAAAAAAAAAAAAAAA